rnacentral:rRNA from 1 species
UACGAAGGGGGCUAGCGUUGCUCGGAAUUACUGGGCGUAAAGGGCGCGUAGGCGGACAGUUAAGUCAGAGGUGAAAGCCCAGGGCUCAACCCUGGAAUAGCCUUUGAUACUGGCUGUCUUGAGUGCGGGAGAGGUGUGUGGAACUCCGAGUGUAGAGGUGAAAUUCGUAGAUAUUCGGAAGAACACCAGUGGCGAAGGCGACACACUGGCCCGUAACUGACGCUGAGGCACGAAAGCGUGGGGAGCAAACAGG